GGCGUGGGGCAAACACUCAGCGUGUGUCAAGUAGCAGGAGUGGUAGCCCUGCUACCAUUAGGGUUGUUACUGGUUGUGGUUCCAUCACACCUUACAGUCCUGGACACGGAGCCGUGAUGGGUCACACCCGCUAGCUGGUAGCAGAUCCAUGGUGACACCAGACCCUGUGACCAUAUUCUAGAGCCGUGCUUGUGAUGCUCUUUGGCUUUCCUUCUGAAAUGUUUUGGGAAAACAUAGUGUGACAGCCCCCCUCCAUCAUGGCCCCCAGUGAGUCCUGCGGCCAGAUAUUCACAGCCGUGUGUAGGGUCCCCUCCCUCCUCGGAUGAGAGCUGGUCUCUGUGACCAGUGGAAUACAGCGGAAUGGAUGCUGUGUUGUUUUUGAAAUUAGGAAAGGCACUGGCUUCCGGUUUGGUCCUUUUCUUCUUGGGGAGAGGCCCUCUGUCUUCUCCAAGCAGCUGUAGGGAGAGGCCAUGGGGUGGGGGUGGAAGCCUCUGAAACAGCCAGCGAGCACCUGAGGUCUGCUGGCAGUCUCGGGCGUGAGCUUGGGAGCCAGUCCUCCAGCCCCCGUCCAUCCUUGAACUGACCGUGGUCCCUGCCGACAGCUUGACGGCAACCUCGUGAGAUGCCCUGAGCCCCAACCAACCAGCUCAGCCACCUCCGCAAUCCUGAGCCCCAAGACUGUGCAGGAAUGUUUGUUGCUCUAAGCAGCUAAGGUACGAUGCAGCAGGGGCGACACACACACGUGGCCCUGGUCUCAGUCUUUCUGUCUGUAAUGACGUAGCUUUAACCUCUGGUUCCACCGCCGUUUCCUAUUUUGGCAUCGAGGAGCUAAGAUGGGAAGAAUUGCUUUCGGUGCCUGCCCGCGCUCACACAGAUUGUAAGCAUCUCGAAGGGAGAACCUUCUCAGGACUCCCCACAGUGCCUGCGACGUGGUGUGUGUGUGUGUGUGGGGGGGUGUCUGUAAAUUAUGCAUGGAGUUAAUGAAUACAUACAUUUUACCCAAGUAAAGACAAAAAGGCAUUCAAGUUAACAUAUCUGCUUAUUUAAGUCUGUUUUGUAAAUAUGAGAGGAAUGUUUCAUACUCAGAUCUGGGCGGUUAUCUGAGUUUUCCUCUUCUUUGGAUCCAUGAUACAUUUUAAUAAUACUUUCUUUUUCCCGAUUUAACCUUGACUUAUUAUCAUGACUUCUUAUCGAGAUUUCUGCUUGAUAAUCGCAGCGGUUUCUUUGAAGUAGCGUUAGUCAGGCCUCGCUCAGUGGGUUAAGGCUCUGGUGUUGCCCUGAGGUGUGGUGUAGGUCACAGAUGCGGCUUGGAUCCAGCAUUGCUGUGGCUGUGGUCUAGACCGGCAGCUGUAGCUCCGAUUUGACCCCUAGUCUGGGAACCUCCAUAUGCUGCAGGUGUGGCCCUAAAAAGCAAAACCAAUCAAUCAAUCCCUCUUUUAAAAAAAGAAUUUAGAUGUGUGAUGUUUAUAGUUUACAGACGAGGUGAUGGUUUCCUCACGUCGGUCAGAGAUGACUGGAUAGAUAUCUUUUAUUUGGCGUCUGUAAUAUUUUGACAUUGAAUUUUUAUACCUUAAGACCAGGUAUCCAUAGGGGUGGAGUUUUCUACUUUUAUCCUACACGUUAAGCUCUGAUUAAGUUUAAUAAGGUUGGAAAAGACUCAGCCACCUCUGUCACCACAACUGUAUCCCACCCACUUCAAUUAACCUGUAAGCGUCUGGGGGAAGAAACAAAACAAAACACUCGCAAUCGGAAAUCCACAGUGCAAGGUGGAGAAUGUGUUCCUCUUUGAUUCCUUCAAGGCCGAAGGCAAAGCAUCUAGAAGGUUCAGGGCUCCAGUCUUUGUCAUAGUAUCUUCCUCUCUUGUCUGCAGCCCGCCAGUCGUCUGGCACUGAAUGAACCAGCAGUAAUUUACUGCAUGCCACCUGCAGGUCCGGCCCCGUCCUAGGCAUCAGACAUGCACAGUAAGCUAGAUUUGUGCGAGCUGCACAGUUUGCCUGUAAGCAGAUCAUGCUUAGGGAUGGUGGCCUCAGGGUGCUCACAAGCCUGUGUUUUGGGGGAGAAAGGCCUGGGGCAAAUCCACAGGGACAUUGGGGACAAAAGGGGAAUGCUAAAGUGCUUGAGGGAGUGCAGGGGAGAGGGUGUUUCUCCUCGAGGCCUUGCAGCAAUGGUGACAUUUAGGUUGGGCCCUACAAGGCGAGGAGGAUUUUUAGGGGGUGGAAGAGGACAGGAUCGUCCAGGCAGUCUCAGUCAUAGAAAGACAACCGCAAACCAGCUUAAAUUAUAAAAGGGGAUAGGAGUUCCCGUCGUGGCGCAGUGGUUAACGAAUCUGACUAGGAACCAUGAGGUUGCAGGUUCGAUCCCUGGCCUCACUCAGUGGGUUGAGGAUCAGGUGUUGCCCUGAGCGGUGGUGUAGGUCACAGACACAGCUUGGAUCUGGCGUUGCUGUGACUGUGGUGUAGGCUGGCAGCUGCAGCUCCAAUUAGACCCCUCGCCUGGGAACCUCCAUAUGCCUUGGGUGCAGCCCUAAAAAGAUAAAAGACAAAAAAA
rnacentral:lncRNA from 1 species